UUUAUCACUUAUCCUUAUUUGUCUGAUACUGCUCGUGGUGUCUGGAAUGUCCAUCCUCCUGUUGAUUAUCCAAGCAGCCAAAAAAGAUACCAAGAGGAGGCCUUGUAGGAACAACCAGCAGGAAGGACCGAACUUUCGCCUUCCUAUCCAGGAAGAACAAGUCGACUCCAAUUCCAGCCUCAU